AAUGGUGAAAAUGUAUGUGAAUUGAUAAUAGAUAAUGUCGACAGCCUCACUAGAUAUCCUAGGAGAUGGUGGACGGACCGGGUCUAUAGGAAACCCUACCGGGAAUGUGGUCUCUCAUAUUGGACGGGGUAUGGAGACUUUAUAUGUUUUGGCGCCCAUACCAGACGGGGUAUGGGGAUGGGCCCGUUUCACCCUUAUACCGGACAGGGUAUUGUGGUUUAUGGUUUUGGCGCCCAUACUGGACGGGGUAUGGCGACGGCCUUGAAAUUAAGUUAUUAAUGUGAAUAGUUUACGUGUAGCGGGGACUCCCUAUGGAUCCCC
rnacentral:lncRNA from 1 species